rnacentral:rRNA from 1 species
AUGAACGCUGGCGGCGUGCCUAAUACAUGCAAGUCGCGCGAACAGACGAGGAGCUUGCUCCUCUGACGUUAGCGGCGGACGGGUGAGUAACACGUGGAUAACCUACCUAUAAGACUGGGAUAACUUCGGGAAACCGGAGCUAUACCGGAUAAUAUAUUGAACCGCAUGGUUCAAUAGUGAAAGACGGUUUUGCUGUCACUUAUAGAUGGAUCCGCGCCGCAUUAGCUAGUUGGUAAGGUAACGGCUUACCAAGGCAACGAUGCGUAGCCGACCUGAGAGGGUGAUCGGCCACACUGGAACUGAGACACGGUCCAGACUCCUACGGGAGGCAGCAGUAGGGAAUCUUCCGCAAUGGGCGAAAGCUUGACGGAGCAACGCCGCGUGAGUGAUGAAGGUCUUCGGAUCGUAAAACUCUGUUAUUAGGGAAGAACAAAUGUGUAAGUAACUAUGCACGUCUUGACGGUACCUAAUCAGAAAGCCACGGCUAACUACGUG